rnacentral:rRNA from 1 species
AACGAACGCUGGCGGCAGGCCUAACACAUGCAAGUCGAGCGAAGCCUUCGGGCUUAGCGGCGGACGGGUGAGUAACGCGUGGGAACGUGCCCUUUGGUACGGAAUAGCCCCGGGAAACUGGGAGUAAUACCGUAUGUGGUCGAGAGACGAAAGAUUUAUCGCCAAAGGAUCGGCUCGCGUUGGAUUAGGUAGUUGGUGGGGUAAUGGCCUACCAAGCCGACGAUCCAUAGCUGGUUUGAGAGGAUGAUCAGCCACACUGGGACUGAGACACGGCCCAGACUCCUACGAGAGGCAGCAGUGGGGAAUCUUAGACAAUGGGGGAAACCCUGAUCUAGCCAUGCCGCGUGAUCGAUGAAGGCCUUAGGGUUGUAAAGAUCUUUCAGUGGGGAAGAUAAUGACUGUACCCACAGAAGAAGCCCCGGCUAACUCCGUGCCAGCCGCCGCAGUAAGAC